rnacentral:rRNA from 1 species
GAUGAACGCUGGCGGCGUGCCUAAUACAUGCAAGUCGAACGCUGGAACUCUAGCUUGCUAGCUUGAAGGAGUGGCGAACGGGUGAGUAAUACAUAAGCAACCUACCCACGAAGACUGGGAUAAUCUCUGGAAACGGGGACUAGUACCGGAUAGGUAAUCGGAAGGCAUCUUCUGAUUAUUAAAGGUUAAAAACACUGGUGGAUGGGCUUAUGGCGCAUUAGUUAGUUGGUGAGGUAACGGCCCACCAAGACGAUGAUGCGUAGCCGGCCUGAGAGGGUGAACGGCCACAUUGGGACUGAGACACGGCCCAGACUCCUACGGGAGGCAGCAGUAGGGAAUUUUCGGCAAUGGGGGAAACCCUGACCGAGCAACGCCGCGUGAGUGAUGACGGCCUUCGGGUUGUAAAGCUCUGUUGUAAGGGAAGAACGGUAGAUAGAGAAUAUCUAAAUGACGGUACCUUACCAGAAAGCCACGGCUAACUACGUG